rnacentral:lncRNA from 1 species
GUGUAAUAUUAUUUUAUUAAAGUAUGUGUGAUUAAAAUGGAAUUAAAUCACUGUUCAAGAAUGCAUUUAGAUAAAAAAAAAAUGGGGCUCAAACAAGGGCUAAAAAUAAAUAUUGUAAUAGCAAUUGUUUGGAGAAUGUGUGGUUAAAUAAUGGGGAAAAGUUUUGGGUUUACGUGUAAAAUUAUUUUAUUGGGAGAAUGUAUGGUUGAAGAUGAGUUUGGAGAAACAAGAGUGUUUAUAUGAAGGGGCUCAAAUUGGGGCUAAAUUUCCAAAGCGGUAGAUUAACAUAAGUAUCAAUCCAAACUAAGCAAUAAAUCAGUAAAGACGUAAAAGUCUCCUCUUUUGUUGUCGGCGUGAUGCUACCAUCGCCAAUGUGAAGUGGUGCCCGAGUGGAGCAAUUUUACAGUCAGUGUCACUGUGGGCUAUUAUCCCUGUUUUUCCUAUUUCUUUUUACAAGUUAUGUGUGUGUGUUUUGGUUUGUUACUCAAAAAAAUAAUUAUUUUUUUAGAGUAUAUUAACAAGUAUUAAAUAAUUAAUUUAAAUAUAUUCAAGGUAUGAGUAUAUUUCAAUGGCUGAUUGGUAUAUAGUAAAGAUAUGAAUAGAUUUUUAAAGCAAGUCAAACCAAUGGAAUUUUUGGGUUUUCAAUUAAGAGGGCCCCAAGGCAUCUAAGACUUCAUUAAUGAGGCAGGUGCCUUGAGGCUGACGAUUAAAAUGAGUUUGGGCGUUAGCCUCGCUCAUCCCUAAAAGAAGUCGUGCUCAUUGCCGUUGUGGCGCGCCUCACGAACAUUUUUUAUAACUGUGCUCCUAAGUUAGUCCAAUCUUAAUUCCUUUUUUUUCCCCUAACUACUUUCUUUGAUUAUGAUAUUCAUAGAUUUUUUCUUGUGUGUAAUUGCAUUGUGUUACAAUAUUGAUCUGUUCAAAUGUAGAAAUUAGAAGUUUGUUUUGUUGAAGUUCUGUCCCAAAUUCUAGUAGCGAUUUCAAAUGUAACUUGUUGCUUCAUUCAAUUCAAUGUUUUGACUUUCUCGUCCAAUCUAAGUACUAAAUAGUGUUCUACUUAAUUUUUAUUACUCCAACUUCCCUGUAGUUCUAGCGACAAUUUGUGAUAGGUAAGUUUUAACUGUUUCACGUUUAUCAAUUUCAUAAAACCAUUCAGUUCGAGUCCCCUUAGGACUAUUAAGGUAAGUAUUCGGCUGUAAACUUCAG